AGAGCGAACGCUGGCGGCAUGCCUAAUACAUGCAAGUCGAACGAACACUUCGGUGUUAGUGGCGCACGGGUGCGUAACGCGUGGGAAUCUGCCCUUGGGUUCGGAAUAACAGUUGGAAACGACUGCUAAUACCGGAUGAUAUCGAAAGAUCAAAGAUUUAUCGCCCAGGGAUGAGCCCGCGUAGGAUUAGCUAGUUGGUGAGGUAAAGGCUCACCAAGGCGACGAUCCUUAGCUGGUCUGAGAGGAUGAUCAGCCACACUGGGACUGAGACACGGCCCAGACUCCUACGGGAGGCAGCAGUAGGGAAUAUUGGACAAUGGGCGCAAGCCUGAUCCAGCAAUCGCCGCGUGAGUGAUGAAGGCCGUUAGGGUUGUAAAGUCUUCUUUACCCGAGAUGAUAAGUGACAGUAGUCGGAAG
rnacentral:rRNA from 1 species